rnacentral:rRNA from 1 species
AGUGAACGCUGGCGGUAUGCCUAACACAUGCAAGUCGAACGGCAGCACAGUAAGAGUUUGCUCUUACGGGUGGCGAGUGGCGGACGGGUGAGGAAUACAUCGGACUCUUCUUUUUCGUGGGGGAUCACGUAGCGAAACUUACGCUAAUACAGCAUAUGAUCUACCGGUGAAAGCAGUGGAUAUUCGCACCUUGCGCGAUUGAAUGAGCUGAUGUCGGAUUAGCUAGUUGGCAGGGUAAAGGCCCACCAAGGCGACGAUCCGUAGCUGGUCGGAGAGGAUGAUCGGCCACACUGGAACUGAGACACGGUCCAGACUCCUACGGGAGGCAGCAGUGGGGAAUAUUGGACAAUGGGCGCAAGCCUGAUCCAGCCAUACCGCGUGGGUGAAGAAGGCCUUCGGGUUGUAAAGCCCUUUUGUUGGGAAAGAAAAGCAGCAGGUUAAUACCCCGCUGUUCUGACGGUACCCAAAGAAUAAGCACCGGCUAACUACGUG